rnacentral:rRNA from 1 species
UACGUAGGGGGCGAGCGUUGUCCGGAUUUACUGGGCGUAAAGAGCUCGUAGGCGGUUUGUCGCGUCGUCUGUGAAAACUCGAGGCUCAACCUCGAGCUUGCAGGCGAUACGGGCAGACUUGAGUACUGCAGGGGAGACUGGAAUUCCUGGUGUAGCGGUGAAAUGCGCAGAUAUCAGGAGGAACACCGGUGGCGAAGGCGGGUCUCUGGACAGUUCCUGACACUGAGGCACGAAGGCCAGGGGAGCAAACGGG